rnacentral:tRNA from 1 species
UCCUAGUGGUUCAAAUGAUAAAAAAUCUGCCUGCAAUGCAGGAGACCUGGGUUUGAUCCCUGGGUUGGGAA